CAAGAGGGCAUCUGAAAUUGAGAGGAGGUUUCAGGACUUUUACCCAGUCCUUUAGUGGGGAUCUGUCCGGGACUGUGCAGUAUGAAUCUGCAACUGUAAAAGUCUCAAGAUGUAACCUUGAAGCAAACUGCAGAAGCCAUUGCUUUAGUCUUCAAGUAGAACCCUGAAAUAAACUUUGGAACCACACCCCCUUUGGUUUCCCACUGUACACGUCCAUGCCUUAUACACAUUUACCUAACUGUAUGCUGGCUAAACUCACACCAUGCAUACUUAUCUAACUAUAUGCCUGUCAAAAAAAUACCAGAGGCUAAUUUAAAAUGAACCAAACAUAAAGGCCCAGCUGUGGAAUUGUCUAUCUCUUAAAGAUUGCCUCAGGAUGGAUAUCUACAGCCUGGAACUAUCAAGAUGGUAUCAGUCUGUCUCGAGUAAGACACAGACUCCCUGAAUCUGCACAAUACCUGCAUGCCUCCCAUGUCAUGCGUCACGCUUCCCUUUCUUUAAGCCCCUGUCCUCUGCCCAAAAUUUUGAACUGGUUUAUAGAGGUGUAAUCCAGCCAUUUCCCUACUGCUGAAUUUGAAAAAUAAAGUCACUUUCCUUUGA
rnacentral:lncRNA from 1 species